rnacentral:tmRNA from 1 species
GGGGGCGAACAGGAUUCGACGGAAGCGCUAUCGCUGCUGAGAGGCAUGCCGGGCUCCGAGCACCCGUAAAUCGGUCGGACAACAAGAACUGCCAACAACGACAUGCAGUUUGCACUUGCUGCCUAAACUAUAGGCAGCCGCCUCCGUCGGCGGGCUCGCACGCCGACACGGGGUGUCAUUUCGCGGGAUAGGUUCGAGGCCUUCUGCUCGCAGGUCUCGGGUCGAGAUCAAUCGAGCUGGAUCGCGUACGGCUUGUCCGUUUCCAGUCCGCGGUCGAGAUCAUUGAACGGACUAAGCAUGUAGGCUCUCUCCGGCGGUCGUUUUCGGACGCGGGUUCGAUUCCCGCCGCCUCCACCA